UGCUUGGAACACGCUCGUUCUCCUCCACAGCGGCUCCUUCCUGCUUCCGGCGCGGGGCGCUGGUCUGCAGUACGAAGGAACUCCUGUGCCAAUGAUAUCCUGUUCCCUCCUCAUAAAGUUCAGAAAGAAAGGGAAAAAUUGAGAAGCCAGCAUUUCCUGAUGUAGCGACUCACAUGCUGAGGAAUUUAUGUGACUGUCACCCACUGUCCUUGAUGAUGGUAUUUCUUCCUUUUUCUGUCUGUGUGUCCCUCAACACCUACCGCACUUCCCCGCACCUGAGAAAUAACCCUCUAUUUAAGAAGAUUUUAAUUUAGAGAAAAGCCGUUUUCCUGUAUUUCUUAUAAGUUGGAAAAGAACAUUGGUAGAAAGAGUGAGAUAACGAGCUAAUUCUUACAAGAGACUUUGAUAUCACCAACUUUCCUGUUCAAGAUGGAACUGGGGCUGGGGCUGUAACUCAGUGGUACAGCACUUGCCUGUUGUCCACACGGCCCUAGAUUCAAUUCCUGGCACACACAGAAAAUCAUCCCUUAGAAAUAUCUCAUCAUCAAGAUGGAGCCUUGAGAUAAAUUCUGAAGUCUAUUUUGGUGGAGAAUAUUUUGACAAUUGAAAGAUCAAUCAUUUUCCAGUCAAGUUCAAGCUCAGACCAGACCAGAAGAUCAAGAAAAAACAGGACAGCUAUACUCUACCUCUAUUCAGUUUGUACAGUUGGCAAUAAAUCAGCCUUUUUCCCCACAUUCAGCCCAAGGUAGACUGACUCAUUAAAGGAUUGAUUUGAAUUCAUCGAACUAUUCUAGCUCCUCUAAACCAAAGCUUUAGAGAUUCCAAGCUAAAGAAGAUUGAUGUCUGCUCAACAUUAACCUCUUGGGCUGGGGAUUUAGCUCAGCAGCAUGGCGCCUGCCUGGCAAGUGUGAGGUCGUGAGUUCGAGUCCCAAUACCCGAAAAAAAAUUUAAGAAAAAACAUUAACCUGUUGGGUGAUGCUAAUGUAACCUUCCAAAUUCAGAUACUCUUAGAGUUUAAUUCACUUUAUUUUGUUUCUUAUGGUAUAGAGGGUUGGUUCUGUCUAGGUUAUCUGCUAUAAGUCUGAAAACAUCCAGGAUUUGCUACUACUCUUCAAAUUUACAUCCACCUAAUCCUAUCGAAUACUGGAACUGAUGAAGUAAUAGCUGCUAUCAUUAGGCAAAAAUUCUCACUCCUGUCCUAAUGUUCAGCACACAUAAAAGUAUAUUAAUUAACUGGCUCAUUAUCUUUUUGCAAGUUGAAGAAUAUAAGAAAACUUGGAUAAGAACUUGUUAGACAGAUGAGAGUUCACAGACAUACAAUAUUAAUUUAUUUUUGACAUUACUGUUUGUGCAGUUCUCAAAAUGCAUGCUAAUGAGAAAGGUACAGGCAAAAAUGUCAAUAUUAAAAUAAUUCAUGACAAAGGAAGAUUAAAAGAAACCCAGGAGACUGAGAAAUACAUCAAUGAUUAAAAGUGGAGAGGUCAAAGUGUCUUCCAAGACAUUCACACAGAUCUUUCCAUAAUAAGAAAAUGUCAGAUGAGAAAUAUCAAGUUAGAGUCAAUAGUAAAGACAGAAACAACAGUCUCUCCAGUUGAGUGCCUGGAAAGCUUUCAGGGCAGAAAGAAAGAACAGCAAUAGAAAGGAAGAGCAGUGCCUAGAAUUCCACCACUACCACUCUGGGACAAUGGGCCACUUAGGAGGAGACAGCCUAAGACUUCUCAGGGGUAAAGCAACUCUACCUGCAGGGGUCACCUCUAGACUCAAGACCAUAGAGGCUGGUGGCACAGACCCAAACGCAUGUCACGGAAUCAAGAGGACCAACAUCAGUAGCAGAGUCAGUGUAGUGGCAGCUUAAGAAUCUUGUUUGAGAUGCCAUAUCUAACUAUUGUAAGUUCUGAAGCAUGAGCUUUAUCAGCACCCAAGCUAGCAGCAAAUACAAUUCAGGUCCUUUGAAAGAAUGGGCUCCUUAAACCGGCACCAUUAACGCAUCAUGGUUUAAACUACCCAUUCACAGAGGAUUUUGUUUAGGUUCAGCGUCUAAUGUCGGAGGCAAUGAAUCCUUUCUUGGUCUCACAGACCACCCCGUUGCCCAGUAUCAAGAAAGAAGCACAAAGCAUGCUCUGGCCGAGUUUGGGUUUGCUAACUUCAUGAACAUUGGGGCGUUUCCUAGGGAAAGGAACAAGUAGCAUUACAUAAUUAGAUGUACCAAAUUUUCUGCUUAGCAACAAAUUUGUGUAAGCAAAAAUGUAUUCAGCUUGAGUCAUUCUCAUGAGCUUUUGGAAGCCUAGAAUAUCUUUGAGCCACCUAGGCAUGCUAAUUUACAGGGCUAGAAAAGCAAUAUGCUAAUUUUUGUAAACAGCUACUCUUUGGACAAAUUCUGGAACACUCUGAUGAGACAGAAGGAAAGAGUACAUCUCUAUUAUUCUUGAAAAAAAAAAACCAAAAUAACCUGAUCCCUAUAUUCUAAGUGGGGUACUCUGGAAAUUUUACUUCAUCCAUAGGGCUGGUAUUUUUCAAAAUGCUUAUUGGGAUAUGAAGUUUUUAUGGCUCCUUAAGAGAAGCUGAAAGUUUUCUGUUUCUAUGGUAGUGUUUUCCCUCUCCUGAAAAUAUUCUUGGUGACCUACUUUGGUAGAACUCUUUGAAAGAAAGAGAAAGCAACUUCGAAAUCCUUUCCCACAAGAACCCAACAGUCCAGAUAUUUUACUAAAGCGUCUCAGAUGUGCGUUCCUUCUAUCUGUGUCCUGCACUAUUGCCGAAGAGAGGUGUUUCUGAAGCGCUGCUCAGCUGCUCCCCACGGUUGGCAGAGCUCCUUUGCACACGCACGGCUCGCUCCACAGCACUGAGUCACGUCGGGCCUGCGUGGAAACCUCGUUCGUCUCAGUGGCCCCGGAAGAGAAGCACAGACUGAGGCAGGUGUGAGACCGCCCUGGGAAGGAACCCCGAGGUGGAUGGAGACGUCUGCGCAAGAUCGCUCAAAGUGGGCUGGCGCGGUACAAUCUCCACCAAGCCCGAAGACACAGAGAUGGUAGGAACCGCCCACAGCUCCGGGUCCUCAACCCAUGCCACGCGCUGGGUCCACUCCGUGGGUUCCAGGCCACGGCUGAUUUGUCUGGGCAUUGUCCCUGUGCUGUGGUGUCCUUCGCAGCUGACACACCUUUCACGUAGUUUGUUCCCCGAUUCUGUCCCAAAAUAAAGUACAAGAAACCUCAGCUCCGCCUCUCAUCCGUGGACCCGACUUAGAAACUCCAAUUCUAUCCGAAAAUAGGUUAAUGUAUUUUAUGAUGGCCACAAACUGUGGCAAGAUUUCACUGUAUAAAAUUAAUAUUUAAAAAUCAAUUUUAUGUUUAUAUACUAGCAGGGGUAGAUUGGAAAUUAAAAUCUAAACACAGGUGUCAUUUAUAAUAGUCUCCAA